AGAACCCUUCUAUGUUGGUGAUUGUCUUAUGUUUUGAUCCAACAGUUAGACUUUGGGAGGUCCCAGUCGAACGGAAGAGUGGAGGCCGCUGAGCAGCGCUCGUGGCGGAACCACAGAGGCCAAAGCAGACCACCCACCUGCGCGAGCAGGUUCAAAACUUUGGUAACACGGCGGUGCGGGGUUCUU
rnacentral:other from 1 species